rnacentral:rRNA from 2 species
CAUUGAUGCUUGCAUCAGAUGACGAGUGGCGCACGGGUGAGUAACGCGUAUACAAUCUACCUUUUACAGGGGGAUAGCCUUUAGAAAUGAAGAUUAAUAUCCCAUAGUAAGUAGUUUUGGCAUCAAGACAACUUUAAAGUUUCGGCGGUAAAAGAUGAGUAUGCGUUCUAUUAGUUAGUUGGUAAGGUAACGGCUUACCAAGACCACGAUAGAUAGGGGCCCUGAGAGGGGGAUCCCCCACACUGGUACUGAGACACGGACCAGACUCCUACGGGAGGCAGCAGUGAGGAAUAUUGGACAAUGGGCGCGAGCCUGAUCCAGCCAUGCCGCGUGCAGGAAGACUGCCCUAUGGGUUGUAAACUGCUUUUAUACAGGAAGAAACCUUUUCACGUGUGAAAAGCUGACGGUACUGUAAGAAUAAGGAUCGGCUAACUCCGUGCCAGCAGCCGCGGUAAUACGGAGGAUCCAAGCGUUAUCCGGAAUCAUUGGGUUUAAAGGGUCCGUAGGUGGAUAAUUAAGUCAGGGGUGAAAGUUUGCAGCUCAACUGUAAAAUUGCCUUUGAUACUGGUUAUCUUGAAUUAU